AUUGAACGCUGGCGGCGUGCUUAACACAUGCAAGUCGAUCGGUAACAGGUGUAGCAAUACAUGCUGACGAGAGGCGGACGGGUGAGUAAUGCUUGGGAAUCUGCCUAUUAGUGGGGGACAACCCGGGGAAACUCGGGCUAAUACCGCAUACGCUCUACGGAGGAAAGCCGGGGACCGCAAGGCCUGGCGCUAAUAGAUGAGCCCAAGUCGGAUUAGCUAGUUGGUAGGGUAACGGCCUACCAAGGCGACAAUCCGUAGCUGGUCUGAGAGGACGACCAGCCACACCGGAACUGAGACACGGUCCGGACUCCUACGGGAGGCAGCAGUGGGGAAUAUUGGACAAUGGGGGCAACCCUGAUCCAGCGACGCCGCGUGGGUGAAGAAGGCCUGCGGGUUGUAAAGCCCUUUCGGUGGGGAAGAAAAGUCUCGACCUAAUACGUCGGGACCUUGACGUAACCCACUAAAGAAGCACCGGCUAACUCUGUGCCAGCAGCCGCAGUAA
rnacentral:rRNA from 1 species